rnacentral:tRNA from 1 species
CAAAUUAGAGCUUGAAUUAAGUAUUUCAUUUACAUUGAAAGAAUAUUAAUAAUAAUUAAUUAAUUUGA